rnacentral:rRNA from 1 species
AUUGAACGCUGGCGGCAGGCCUAACACAUGCAAGUCGAACGGUAACAGGAAGACGCUUGCUUCUUUGCUGACGAGUGGCGGACGGGUGAGUAAUGUCUGGGAAACUGCCUGAUGGAGGGGGAUAACUACUGGAAACGGUAGCUAAUACCGCAUAACGUCGCAAGACCAAAAAGGGGGACCUUCUGGCCUCUUGCCAUCGGAUGUGCCCAGAUGGGAUUAGCUAGUAGGUGGGGUAACGGCUCACCUAGGCGACGAUCCCUAGCUGGUCUGAGAGGAUGACCAGCCACACUGGAACUGAGACACGGUCCAGACUCCUACGGGAGGCAGCAGUGGGGAAUAUUGCACAAUGGGCGCAAGCCUGAUGCAGCCAUGCCGCGUGUGUGAAGAAGGCCUUCGGGUUGUAAAGUACUUUCGGCGGGGAGGAAGGGAGUAAAGUUAAUACCUUUGCUCAUUGACGUUACCCGCAGAAGAAGCACCGGCUAACUCCGUG